rnacentral:rRNA from 1 species
AGGGAAAGAGGGAGGGAGGAAGAAAAAAGGAAAGUAGAAAGGAAGCACAGUAAGAGCUUGCUCUUACGGGUGGCGAGUGGCGGACGGGUGAGGAAUACAUCGGAAUCUACUUUUUCGUGGGGGAUAACGUAGGGAAACUUACGCUAAUACCGCAUACGACCUACGGGUGAAAGCAGGGGAUCUUCGGACCUUGCGCGAUUGAAUGAGCCGAUGUCGGAUUAGCUAGUUGGCGGGGUAAAGGCCCACCAAGGCGACGAUCCGUAGCUGGUCUGAGAGGAUGAUCAGCCACACUGGAACUGAGACACGGUCCAGACUCCUACGGGAGGCAGCAGUGGGGAAUAUUGGACAAUGGGCGCAAGCCUGAUCCAGCCAUACCGCGUGGGUGAAGAAGGCCUUCGGGUUGUAAAGCCCUUUUGUUGGGAAAGAAAAGCAGCAGGUUAAUACCCCGCUGUUCUGACGGUACCCAAAGAAUAAGCACCGGCUAACUUCGUA